AAACUGCGAUAAGUAGCGUGAAUUGCAGACGCUUUGAACGUUAAACUUUCGAACGCACAUUGCGCCGUAGGAGUCCUACCCUGCGGCACAUCUGGUUGAGGGUCGUGAUCAAAAACAGCAGGACUAUGGCUGUAGUAGAAAUAGCUGGUGAAUCACGAGUUCGGCCUACCGCCUCUGGCCGAACGUGUUUUGCCAUCAUGCUAGAAGAGGACAAUCACGAGAGUGAUUGCCUACCACACGGAUGAUCUAUUAGCUGAAGCAAUAGGUCUCGGUCACCGGGUAUCAUGCUUUCAUAUACUCUGUGGCGUCUGAGACACGGCUAGUGGGGGCUUCAUACGUGCCUGGUAUUGAGAGUAUUCGCUCUCCCGACCUCAACUCAGGUGUGAUUACCCGCUGAACU
rnacentral:misc_RNA from 1 species